GGAUUUUUUAUUAUGUGUAAUGUCUUCUUUUAAAACUCCACAAAUCUUUUUAAUUUUCCAUGGGACCUAGAAUAAAAUUUCUAUAAUAAAAUCUAUAACUAUGUCUAUGGAAUUUAGUUCUUGUUUCAAAUUUAAUUAAAUAGAAAAAAAAAUCAGUAUUAUGGCAUUAUCUAGGAAUCAUUAAGCUAUUAUAUCUCCAUGGCUGGUAAACAAUGAAAAUUUCACUAUUCCUAACAACUAGGAAUAAUUUGAAGGCACAGAAGAGGAUAUUUUGCCCAGAAGUUUGAAGAUGCUCUUUGAAGAAUAUCUUAGGGAACACUGUUACCCGGCUCAGUUCAGUUCUUUGUGAGGGUUAGAGACUUGUUUUUUGUUUUUCUUCCCUCCAGUGAUAUUUGGCACAAUGAACACAUACCAGCUUUAGGGUUAAAAAUGGUCUGCCAAGGGCAAAAAGCCUGGGUUUCUGGUCAGCAACCAGAUGGGCCUAAUUAGUGCAGUCACUUCCUGAUAGGCACCAACUAAUCACUGCAUUUCCUGUAAGCACCACAUAAUCACCAACUUGGAUUUGUAGUGUUUGCUUGCCUAAAGAAAAAACAUAAACCUUUUUAUUCUUGAUUUCUUUUUCUGUAAAAAUGAAGUGCAUUGAGACUACCAUUUCUUAAGACAGCCCUACACCUCUGUAAUCCCUUAGACAGGUGGAAGAGCGGAAACCUGUAAGCUCCUGUUGUCUCCGACGGCCUCCUCCCUCUGUAUUUUCUCCUCCUAAUAGCCUAACUGAAAGUAAUAUGCUGGUCCAAUAAAAGUGAAUGUGGGAGUCUUUGUAGUUUGCUAAAUAUUGUCCUCUCUGUGAGGCUGCCUCAAACUCUUGAAGUCAUUCUUUCAUCAUUCAUAUGUUUUGCAAACAUUCAUUGAGCGCCUGCAUUACAUUUAAAGGCAAGCUGGAAAGCUUCAGGGAUUUGGAGUAGCUAAGGAGCCCGGAGGACACAGCUGAUCCAGCAGAGGAUGCUGAUGAUGUCCUAAAGCAGUGAUGCUCCUUCUCAGCAUAAGAUCUAAUGGGCUCAGAGUGGCCAGGUGCUGGGUGCUGAGUAGAGGAGUGGACUUCAGCCUUACCAUCAAUGCUCCACAAUUCAGCUCUGGCCCUGAACUUGCACACCUCACUGAGCAAAACGGCACCCUGCAGUGAUGUGGACCAAGCUCCCUACACACUACGUCAAUGACUAUUUAUCCUGUGAG
ensembl:lncRNA